UACGGAGGGUGCAAGCGUUAUCCGGAUUCACUGGGUUUAAAGGGUGCGUAGGCGGGCAGGUAAGUCAGUGGUGAAAUCUCCGGGCUUAACCCGGAACUGCCGUUGAUACUAUCUGUCUUGAAUAUCGUGGAGGUAAGCGGAAUAUGUCAUGUAGCGGUGAAAUGCUUAGAUAUGACAUAGAACACCCAUUGCGAAGGCAGCUUACUACAUGAUCAUUGACGCUGAGGCACGAAAGCGUGGGGAGCAAACAGG
rnacentral:rRNA from 1 species